rnacentral:rRNA from 1 species
AACCGGGAUUGCCUCAGUAACGGCGAGUGAAGCGGCAAGAGCUCAAAUUUGAAAGCUGGCUCCUUCGGAGUGCCGCAUUGUAAUUUGCAGAGGAUGCUUUGGGUGCGGCCCCCGUCUAAGUGCCCUGGAACGGGCCGUCAGAGAGGGUGAGAAUCCCGUCUUGGGCGGGGUGUCCGUGCCCGUGUAAAGCUCCUUCGACGAGUCGAGUUGUUUGGGAAUGCAGCUCUAAAUGGGUUGGUAAAUUUCAUCUAAAGCUAAAUACUGGCCGGAGACGGAUAGCGCACAAGUAGAGUGAUCGAAAGAUGAAAAGCACUUUGAAAAGAGAGUUAAACAGCACGUGAAAUUGUUGAAAGGGAAGCGCUUGCGACCAGACUCGCCCGCGGGGUUCAGCCGGCAUUCGUGCCGGUGUACUUCCCCGUGGGCGGGCCAGCGUCGGUUUGGGCGGCCGGUCAAAGGCCCCUGGAAUGUAGUGCCCUCCGGGGCACCUUAUAGCCAGGGGCUGCAAUGCGGCCAGCCUGGGACCGAGGAACGCGCUUCGGCACGGACGCUGGCAUAAUGGUCGUAAACGACCCGUCUUGAAACACGGACCAAGGAGUCUAACAUCUACGCGAGUGUUCGGGUGUCAAACCCGUGCGCGCAGUGAAAGCGAACGGAGGUGGGAGCCCCCUUGCGGGGCGCACCAUCGACCGAUCCUGAUGUCUUCGGAUGGAUUUGAGUAAGAGCGUAGCUGUGGGGACCCGAAAGAUGGUGAACUAUGCCUGAAUAGGGCGAAGCCAGAGGAAACUCUGGUGGAGGCUCGCAGCGGUUCUGACGUGCAAAUCGAUCGUCAAAUUGGGUAUAGGGGCGAAAGA